AACGGACGCUGGCGGCAGGCUUAACACAUGCAAGUCGAGCGCCCCGCAAGGGGAGCGGCAGACGGGUGAGUAACACGUGGGAAUCUACCCAUCCCUACGGAACAACUCCGGGAAACUGGAGCUAAUACCGUAUACGCCCUUCGGGGGAAAGAUUUAUCGGGGAUGGAUGAGCCCGCGUUGGAUUAGCUAGUUGGUGGGGUAAAGGCCUACCAAGGCGACGAUCCAUAGCUGGUCUGAGAGGAUGAUCAGCCACAUUGGGACUGAGUCACGGCCCAAACUCCUACGGGAGGCAGCAGUGGGGAAUAUUGGACAAUGGGCGCAAGCCUGAUCCAGCCAUGCCGCGUGAAUGAUGAAGGCCUUAGGGUUGUAAAGUUCUUUCACCGAUGAAGAUAAUGACGGUAGUCGGAGAAGAAGCCCUGGCUAACUUCGUGCCAGCAGCCGCCGUAA
rnacentral:rRNA from 1 species